CAGUAGCCGCGGGAAUACGUAGGGUGCGAGCGUUAAUCGGAAUUACUUGGCGUAAAGCGUGCGCAGGCGGUUAUAUAAGUCAGAUGUGAAAUCCCCGGGCUCAACCUGGGAACUGCAUUUGAGACUGUAUGGCUAGAGUGUGUCAGAGGGGGGUAGAAUUCCACGUGUAGUAGUGAAAUGCGUAGAUAUGCGGAGGAACACCGAUGGCGAAGGCAAUCCCCUGGACCUGUACUGACGCUCAUGCACGAAAGCGUGGGGAGCAAACAGGAUUAGAUACCCCGGUAGUCCCUGUCUCUUAUAC
rnacentral:rRNA from 1 species